UAGUCCACUGAAAUAGGGCCAGACAUCCUAAAUUUGGGGUAGGGAGGAGGAAAAUUGAUCUAAGGGUAAAAAGCUAAUAAAACUGACAAAGAUUAUUCCUGGCAUAAGAAGCAAGAAGAAAA
rnacentral:lncRNA from 1 species